GCGGCCCUGAAGUAUUACUUCAUUUUUCUCACUAUGCUCGAUUCAUAUGUCACGAGACAGAGGUCCAGAAAGGGGAAGGUAUUUGCCCAGAGCCGUGAGGGUGGCUUUAGUCUCAAGUUACCACCGUGAAGAUGCCUUGGGAUUUACAUCCUUUUGUGUGCUGGCUACACAAUUCGUUUGGAUGUGAAACGAGCUUCCCCAAAUGACCCACCAUGUGGACUCCCAUAGCUGGUUUGGAAGAGUCUGACAUUCAGCAAGGAACACACACAGAGACUCCUGAUAGUGUGCAAGUCCCUGGAUCCAGCUGUUCCUGAUAACAACACAUUCUAUAGCACUGAGUUAUGAAGGAGUGUAAGAUCUAAGGCAAAGCAAGACAGGAACUUUUGGGACUGGAAGAAGAUGAUAGAAACAUUUCUACAUGAACAAGUUUCGUGGAUGAAGCUGUCUGCCUGUCUCUCCAUUAGGCUAGAAGCUUUCCUCCUUUUCUGCCUGGAAAUCACACAUUGAAAGACAUAGCUCUGAAUAAUUCAAAUAUGAUAAUGUUUUCCUAUUUGCCAAUCAGUUGACUUGUUUAAUAGUAUUUUUAAAAAUAUACCUAUUUAGUGAGCCACACAUAUUUUCAAUAUUGAACAUUUUUGUAAUAUCUGACAAAAAUGGAAAUUGAAGGCAUUUGUACAUUUAAACUAUUGACAGCAAAUUUUUAUAAAAAUGUAACAUUUGUUUGGGUGGGUAGAAAUAGAUAAAUGCAAGAGAAAAUGAUGUGAACCAUAAACUCACUGACAAAUCAUGAAAUAUAAUUGUUUCAUGUCAGUGCACAUUACCUAGAAUAUGAUUUUUGAUUUCUUAAAGCAUAAUA